AUUGAACGCUGGCGGCAGGCCUAACACAUGCAAGUCGAACGGUAACAGGAAGCAGCUUGCUGCUUUGCUGACGAGUGGCGGACGGGUGGGUAAUGUCUGGGAAACUGCCUGAUGGAGGGGGAUAACUACUGGAAACGGUAGCUAAUACUGCAUAACGUCGCAAGACCAAAGAGGGGGACCUUCGGGCCUCUUGCCAUCGGAUGUGCCCAGAUGGGUUUAGCUAGUAGUUGGGGUAACGGCUCACCUAGGCGACGAUCCCUAGCUGGUCUGAGAGGAUGACCAGCCACACUGGAACUGAGACACGGUCCAGACUCCUACGGGAGGCAGAGGUGGGGAAUAUUGCACAAUGGGCGCAAGCCUGAUGCAGCCAUGCCGCGUGUAUGAAGAAGGCCUUCGGGUUGUAAAGUACUUUCCGCGGGGAGGAAGGGAGUAAAGUUAAUACCUUUGCUCAUUGACGUUACCCGCAGAAGAAGCACCGGCUAACUCCGUG
rnacentral:rRNA from 1 species